UACGUAGGGCGCAAGCGUUGUCCGGAAUUAUUGGGCGUAAAGAGCUCGUAGGCGGCUUGUCACGUCGGGUGUGAAAGCCCGGGGCUUAACCCCGGGUCUGCAUUCGAUACGGGCUGGCUAGAGUGUGGUAGGGGAGAUCGGAAUUCCUGGUGUGGCGGUGAAAUGCGCAGAUAUCAGGAGGAACACCGGUGGCGAAGGCGGAUCUCUGGGCCAUUACUGACGCUGAGGAGCGAAAGCGUGGGGAGCGAACAGG
rnacentral:rRNA from 1 species